GGGGAAGUUUCCCCCGGCGGCUCGGGUUUCACAUCCUCCUCGUGUAGUACCAGCGGCACCGGGGACGGAAGGGGUGCCCGAUCCCUUCUGCAUCCUCGGUAUUUUCUCCGCUGAGGGUCUGAUCGCUGCCGCUCUCAGGCACCUGCCUUUCCUCUCCGUCCCGGAAUGGAGCCAAGACAAGGGAAUAAAGGAAAUAAAAUAGUACAAGGAGGUCGGGUGUCUGGGCAGCGUCUUGGAUAAAACGGUCCACCACAGACUGGCCCUGGGCUAACAGCUGUGCCCAUCUUUCUCCACUUUAUAUGGGACGCCGCCACAGCAUGGCUUGACAAGUGAUGCGUCGGUGCGCGUCUGGGAUCUGAACCUGCGAACCCCGGGCUGCUGAAGCAGAGCAGGCGCACUUCACCACUUAACCACUGCGCCACUGGGCUGGCCCCAUCGAUAUGCACAUUUUUUGAUAAAUAAAAAAUCUCCUGCCCUCCUUUA